AAUAUUUUAAACCACAUUUUUAUAAAAUGCUCCUCUGUAUUUUUGCCCAGGGAACCUGUGGAUGAAGUAAAUUGUUGUCAAGUGUACCAAAUUAAAGAUAAAUCUACAGUCAAUCAAUUGAAAAUGUUCGUGUGAAAACCCAACUAGCUACGUAGCUUGGAUGCAUUUGCGGAUUUUCGUACUCACGUGUAUUUGUGUGCUUCAGCUAGGAUAAUGGAAGAUAUAAAAAACAAACACUCUUUGUUGAAUAAUUUAUUUCGCGCAGAAAUCCAGGCGCUGACUUAUUUCUCAAUCGAAACUGCUGAUAUCUUAAUUAGAUUUAAGAUGACCAAUAGUUUAAAAACUUGGAAAAUUUUGAAGUUUGAUGGAUUGCUCAUGAACGCUCGUUGCAAAAAUAUAAGUAAUGCCAGCACAUACGAAUCCUUGAAACUUAUGGCGGAAAGUAAGGAGACGAACAACUGAAACAAGAAGUAUCGUGCCAACUGUAGAAAGAAACGUCGAACUGAAAGAAUGAGGAAAUGCUUCUGUUCUUGCCAUGGUGACGAACUAAGAAUUAGGAUUUGUUUUUGCCCAGGAAUGCUUUUUCGAACUGAAAAGAAAACUAGCUAUUUUCGAUAUUAAGCUACAAUUUUGGAUGUAUGGGAGACGACAAAUGUCGAAAAAGCUAAAAUAUCAUUCACUAAGAUCUCAUCGGACAUAAAGAUGAAAGCCAUUGUCGUUUACAAGAGAUAGUUUGUAAAAAGAGCACCCAUAUACAUCUGUAUAUACUUCAAACUUGGUUUUACAAUAAUGACUUUAGCUUUCAAAUGCAUAAGAGUGAUAAGACACAUAUAGAUACUGAACUCAAUGUACAAAUAAAUAGUUACGACACGCUCCGAUAUAAUGUUAUUAAGCUUGGGCAAAUAUCGACUUUCAGAUUAAUAAAAGCCUAGAUCUGUAAAUUAUCUCGACCGUUAUCUUAAAAAGUUCAUUUUCAAAAAGUUUUUGCGAACAACUAAUCAGCUUUUUCAAAUUUGGAACAGAAAUUGAAGCAUGUUAUAUCUGAAGUAGUGAUGGAGUAAAUUAAAUCUUCAUUUGUUCAUGUUCUAUGACCAUACUCAUGAUUGCUCGCGAGCCAUGAUUUUCCGGAGCAUGUGGUCGGUCUUGGCUUUUCCAGAAAAGAUUGGCAUAACAUAAACGUUGUAUAUUUUAUGAAGAUUUAUAAGACCAAACCUUGAUAUUAUUUCGGUACUUGAAUGCACACUAUGAAUACCGCAAUUGACAAUUAACCUUUAUCAUUGAAAACUGUGGCUAUAGAGUUAAGUACAAAAAGUUAAUUUACUAUUGUAAAAAUAGCAUGACAAUAUACGUGACUAUGAACGCUUACAAGUAUAUGAUUGUUCAAUUAGUCGUGGAGUCGGACUAUCUAAUUUGAGGCUCUCACGUAGCUACGAGCUGGGCUCAUUUCUUGCGUAAGGUGCAUGCCCUUAUUUUAUUUUCCACCUUCAACAAAUUACAAUGGUAUGUAUUAAAAAAAAAAGCGAAAUGUAGGAUUAAGUUAAUUUGCUUACGCGACUUGUCUAAAUACAUACAUAGGUUGAUUCUUAAAGCCUAGCCGCAGCAUUAAACCAUUUAAAUGUAGCAAUUAGCUAUAAGCUUAUAAAGGUUAAUGCCUUAUUAACUCAAUAGUUUUUAUCUAAGUGACUGAUAACCUUAAGUAAAUUGUUGCUAACAAUUUCUGGCAUUAUUUUAAUUUCAUUCCACAUUGUUAUGUUCAUUCCACAUGACAAAAGGUUUUAAAAGAACCCACGUCUUCUACAAUAACUGUUGAUAUCUUAAUUAUAAAAUUUUAAAUUUUGAAGUUGGAUGGAUUGCUUUAUGAACGCUCGUUGCAAAAAUAUAAGUAAUGCCAGCACGUACGAAUCCUUGAAACAUAUGACGGAAGGAGACGAACAACUGAAACAAGAAGUAUCGUGCCAACUGAUAAAAUAAACGUCGAACUGAAAGAAUGAGGAAAUGUUUCUGUUCUUGCCAUGGUGACGAACGAAGAAUUAGGAUUUGUUUUUGUUGUUAGACAAACAUGCAAGUCUGUUGCGCUGUUUUACUUUCUCUAUUCAAUACCUUUUUUAGAAUUUCGUACUUCCGUAGACAACGCACCUCUAUCAUUAAAAUUUACAUGUAUUCAAA